rnacentral:rRNA from 1 species
AUGAAUCUUCUUGCCUGGAACUGUCGGGGGCUGGGGUUGGACCCGACAGUGGGCGAGCUCAGAGACCUGAUACGGUCCCACAACCCAGCGGUGGUGUUCUUAUGCGAAACAAAGAAGAAGGCUAGGGCUAUGGAGAAGGUGAAGUGGAGUCUGGGGUUCCGAGAAGGAGUGGCUGUGGAUUGCAACGGGAGGAGUGGUGGUAUGGCUUUGUGGUGGAGAGAUCACGUGCAGGUAUCCGUUCGACCUUGGUGUCAGUACUUUACUGAUGCCACCGUGGUUUUUGAUGGUCGUGCUUUUAGAAUCACUGGAUUCUAUGGCGAGCCUCGAACGAGCUUCGAGCUAAGUCUUGGUCUGCCCUUAGAUACUUACGGAGACAGGAUGACCUGCCUUGGAUCUGCUUGGGUGAUUUCAAUGAAGCACUCUUGUUGUCUGAGCAACAUGGAGGUAACCUUAGAAGCUUUGCGCAGAUGGAUGAGUUUCGAGGCUGCUUGGAUGACUGCGGGCUCGCUGAUCUAG